rnacentral:rRNA from 1 species
AAACGGCCGCGGUACCCUAACCGUGCAAAGGUAGCAUAAUCAUUUGCCUUUUAAUUGGAGGCUGGUAUGAAUGGUUUGACGAGAGCUAAGCUGUCUCUUUUUUGAAUAUUUAGAAAUUAACUUUUAGGUGAAGAGGCCUAAAUUUGUUUAAGGGACAAGAAGACCCUGUUGAGCUUUAGUGAUUCUGCAAAUUUAUAUCUAUUUGGCUAAAAAUAAGUUAAAUAGUUUGCUAAAAUUCAAUUACUAUGUAUAUUGAUUAUUUGUAGUGAAUCUUUAGUUGGGGCGACUAAGGAACAUAUAAAGCUUCCUUUAAUGAGUUGGUUGAUUUAGUAACUAGUAUUUUGAAUGCUGAUAUGUUAUUUUGAUCCAGGUUAUUCUGAUCAAGAGAAAAAGUUACCACAGGGAUAACAAGCGUAAUCUUUCUGGAGAGAUCUUAUCGAAAGGAGGGUUUGCGACCUCG